rnacentral:tRNA from 1 species
GCGAGUGUAGUUCAAUGGUAGAAUAUUGCCUUGCCAAGGCAAAGGUUGUGGGUUCAAGUCCCAUUACUCGC